GGCUCCUUGUAAUAAAUAAAUAGGGAGUCGGACCUGCCCAGUGAAAUUUUUUAACGGCCGCGGUACUCUGACCGUGCAAAGGUAGCAUAAUCAUUUGCCUUAUAAUUGAAGGCUGGUAUGAAUGGUUUGACAAGAAUAUAGCUGUCUCUUUAUAAUUUAGUAGAAUUUUAUCUUAAGGUGAAGAAGCCUUAAUUGGAUUAAAAGACAAGAAGACCCUAUCGAGCUUAAAAGAAUUUAGUAGAAUAUAAUAUUAAUACAAUAAGUUAAAAAAUUACCUAUUAAAAAUUUUGGUUGGGGCGACUGAGGAACAAAGAUAGCUUCCUUUAAGAUAUAAUAACAUACAGGUAUUGAUCCAAAAUUUUUGAUUAAAGGAAUUAGUUACCGUAGGGAUAACAGCAUUAUCUUCUUUGAGAGUUCUUAUCGAAAAGGGGGUUUGUGACCUCGAUGUUGGACCAGAAUAUCCUAAAGAUGUAGAAGUCUUUAAGGGUUGGUCUGUUCGACCAUUAAAAUUCU
rnacentral:rRNA from 1 species